AUUAUCACAGCAGAGCAACAGUGUGUGAUACUGAAAGCUAGCAAACCAUCUGGGUGGCUAACUGGUAGUGGUAACAGGAUGGGAGGAAAUGAAUUCCCCAGGAGAGGAAGCAAAUGAUUUCAAGUAAGCCCCAGAUGAGUCUUUGGAACAUGGGAAAGGUAUUGGCUGGAUUUCACUAGGAAAAGAAUCUGUUACAUCAGUAUAUCUGUGUAUUUCCCUGCAUGAUGAACCAUGGGGAAGCAGCAAAGGGAAGGCAACAAAGAAGACAGCCAGUGUGUGUCUAUGGAAAGAAGCCUAGUACCUUGUGUCACUACUUCAAACCAUUCUUGCAUGGUGAAAAGAGAUUAGACUUGUGGCCAGAAAGGAUACAUACAUUGAACCACUCAGAGAGCAGGAAAGAACCUGAACCCAUGUAACUGGGGAAGAAUCAGAGGCUACAGCAAUAAGGAAUAACAGGACAAGGACCAAGCUAUGAAGCUACUGUGAGCCUGCUGUGACCAUUGUGACAGAGGAGGAACAGGAAAAAGCCACUUAAAGUACCGGAGAGGCCCAAAAUACCAAGAAGGCAAUCAGAACAUGCACAACAUGCAGAGAUGGAAAGCAAUUAAAUGUUGAAGCAAAAAAAGACACUGAGCUAUUUGAACCAAGGAAAGGAAAAUCCCCUACUGCAGAUUUAGAGGCCCCACAAAGCUUGGCUGAGAGCCAAGGAGAGCCAAAGCAAGAUUCAAAUAAAAAGGGAAGCACAAAUUGAGAUUUUUCUAAAAUUUCCAGUUUAU